rnacentral:tRNA from 1 species
GGAAGGACGAUAAGCAAUUGGGCGGACACAAGAAACCGGUUUCCGCCUCCCGGUCUUGAAAACCGCCGUGGGUGCAAGCCCACCGUGGGUUCGAAUCCCACCCCUUCCGCCA